AGAGUUUGAUCCUGGCUCAGGACGAACGCUGGCGGCGUGCUUAACACAUGCAAGUCGAACGGAAAGGCCCUGCUUUUGUGGGGUGCUCGAGUGGCGAACGGGUGAGUAACACGUGAGUAACCUGCCCUUGACUUUGGGAUAACUUCAGGAAACUGGGGCUAAUACCGGAUAGGAGCUCCUGCUGCAUGGUGGGGGUUGGAAAGUUUCGGCGGUUGGGGAUGGACUCGCGGCUUAUCAGCUUGUUGGUGGGGUAGUGGCUUACCAAGGCUUUGACGGGUAGCCGGCCUGAGAGGGUGACCGGCCACAUUGGGACUGAGAUACGGCCCAGACUCCUACGGGAGGCAGCAGUGGGGAAUAUUGCACAAUGGGCGGAAGCCUGAUGCAGCAACGCCGCGUGCGGGAUGACGGCCUUCGGGUUGUAAACCGCUUUCGCCUGUGACGAAGCGUGAGUGACGGUAAUGGGUAAAGAAGCACCGGCUAACUACGUGCCAGCAGCCGCGGUGAUACGUAGGGUGCGAGCGUUGUCCGGAUUUAUUGGGCGUAAAGGGCUCGUAGGUGGUUGAUCGCGUCGGAAGUGUAAUCUUGGGGCUUAACCCUGAGCGUGCUUUCGAUACGGGUUGACUUGAGGAAGGUAGGGGAGAAUGGAAUUCCUGGUGGAGCGGUGGAAUGCGCAGAUAUCAGGAGGAACACCAGUGGCGAAGGCGGUUCUCUGGGCCUUUCCUGACGCUGAGGAGCGAAAGCGUGGGGAGCGAACAGGCUUAGAUACCCUGGUAGUCCACGCUGUAAACGGUGGGUACUAGGUGUGGGGUCCAUUCCA
rnacentral:rRNA from 1 species